rnacentral:rRNA from 1 species
GCAAGCAACAGUCCAAUGUACUCAAGGCACUGAAACAAGUAGGGAACGAAGGAAGCAGUUUGCUUGACUUAAUUCUCCAAUCGGGCUUUUUCAGUAAUAGCGAUAAAUAUUCGCUCUUUUUCACCAUUCACCAACUGCCUAAAAUGCAACAGGAAAUGAUGUUGAGCCAACUCAACGAACAGCAGGUAGCAGAACUGGCGGAAAAGUCGAACGCCGAAACUAUGAAGAAAUUCAACGCACGCCCGGGAACAGCGAGCAAUCAAUACCUGCACGACCUGUACCGUUUCUUCAAACUUAGUGUGCGCCGGAAUGAAUUUCGUGAUAUUUUCAAAGAAAAACUCGACCUUCAUCAUGUUCCCGCACUCGACAAUCUACUAUAUUGUGAAGAAGAAUUGUUUCCUAUUGCUGAUUUUUAUCUUUCAAAGGAACGUUGGGAUGAGGCUAUCGACAUUUAUAAAGAAUUGAUUGAAAUCGGAGGAUUUGAGGGAGAAGGUGCAGAAUAUUACCAAAAAUUCGGAUAUGCUCUGCAAAAAAGAAAAAGAUAUGCGGAAGCUAUCGAAGCCUAUCAAACUAAGAAUGCCGGAGUAUUGAUGUAUGGGAGUCAGACAGUGUGAGAUAAAUCUCAUUGUCAAAAGGGAAACAGCCCAGAUCUACAGCUAAGGUCCCAAAUUGUAUCUAAGUGGAAAACGAUGUGGAAAUACGCAGACAACCAGGAUGUUGGCUCAGAAGCAGCCACUCAUUUAAAGAGUGCGUAAUAGCUCACUGGUCGAGCGUCUCUGCGCGGAAAAUUUAACGGGGCUAAGAUACAAACCGAAGCUUAGGCUGCACUUUUAGUGCGGGGUAGGGGAGCGUUGUGUAAGCGGAGAAACGAUAGCGUAAGCGGUCGUGGAGUUUACAGAAGUGAGAAUGCCGGAAUGAGUAGCGCGAAUGAUGUGAGAAUCAUCAUGGCCGGAAACCUCAGGUUUUUGGAGGAAGGUUCGUCCGCUCCAAGUUAGGCGGGAGCUAAGGUGAGGCCGAAAGGCGUAGCCGAUGCACAGACGGUAGAGAUUCCGUCCCCACCGAAAGAUUUAAGCGCAGGGACACUUUUAGAAGGUCGGAGCCAGGUGUUGGUUCUGGUAGAGAUCGAGGGAAAAUUAGUACCGAAGUCCGGCUGGAUAAGAGGCGAGAAAAGCUGCGUGUAUAUCUAAGGUGCCCGUACCGCAAACCGACACAGGUAGGUAGGAAGAAGAUUCUAAGGCCAACGGGAGAAGGGUUGUUAAGGAACUCGGCAAAUUGACCCCGUAACUUCGGGAGAAGGGGUGCUCCAGAGAUGGAGCCGCAGAGAAUCGGCCCAAGCAACUGUUUACCAAAAACACAGGUUUGUGCUAAAUCGAAAGAUGACGUAUACGAGCUGACGCCUGCCCGGUGCUGGAAGGUUAAGAGGAGAUGUGCAAGCAUUGAAUCGAAGCCCCAGUGAACGGCGGCCGUAACUAUAACGGUCCUAAGGUAGCGAAAUUCCUUGUCAGGUAAGUUCUGACCCGCACGAAUGGCGUAAUGAUUUGGGCACUGUCUCAACAGCCCGCCCGGCGAAAUUGUAGUACCGGUGAAGAUGCCGGUUACCCGCGACAAGACGGAAAGACCCCAUGGAGCUUUACUGUAGCUUAAUAUUGGGUUUCGAUAAUUUAUGUAUAGGAUAGGCGGGAGACUAGGAAACCGUGGCGCCAGCCACGGCGGAGUCGACGUUGGAAUACCGCUCUUAAGUUAUUGGAAUUCUAACCUGCGGCCAUGAAUCUGGCCGGGGGACAUUGUUAGGUGGGCAGUUUGACUGGGGCGGUCGCCUCCAAAAAGGUAACGGAGGCGCUCAAAGGUUGGCUCAGCAUGGUUGGAAACCAUGCCUUAGAGUGUAAACGCGUAAGCCAGCCUAACUGCGAGGAUGACGGUCCGAGCAGUAACGAAAGUUGGAGUUAGUGAUCCGGCGGUAUGAGAGUGGAAUUGCCGUCGCUCAACGGAUAAAAGCUACCCUGGGGAUAACAGGCUGAUCUCCCCCAA